UCGGCCUCCGCGGCCGCUCGGCUCCGGGCUCGUCCUGCCGCGCGAUUCCCGGUGCCCGCGGGCGUCUCCUGCCCGCGCUAAGCCUCCACUGCAGCGACUCCACCCGUGUCCCCCACGCCGGCCGCGGCUCGCGCUGCGCGCUCCCUCGCUCGGGGCUGCGGCUUCCGCGGGACUCGUACGUUCAAAGGAAAACAUGUCGUCACCGCCUCCUCGAGAGUGUACGCAUGGCCGCGCUCUCCGCGGACCGAUUUACGCCGGGGACGGGGCUGAACGCACAGAAGGAACGCUGAAACCCGCGCGAAGCUCGCAACCUCCGACGCUGUUCCGCCUCCACCGUCUACAGCGAUCAUAAGGCCAGUCAACGCAUACAUGACGGCCCGGCGGUGUCAGCGAGCGCUGCGCAGCGGUGUGAAGAAUGAGAAAAGAAUUUGGCCCAGCGUGGUACCACACACCUGUCAUCCCAGCACUCUGCAGGCUGAGGCAGGAAGGACGCGUGUUUGAGAUCAGCCUGGGUAACGCAGCAGCUCAGCAAGACCCUGUUUCAGAAACAUCCAGGCUGCUCAGGGAGAAGGCCCUGAGUCCAAUCCCGUACAUUCACCCGCCAGAAGGAUGGCAUUCAUGAGGGACACGGACGUUUAUUUAGCGACCAUGUACUGAGGGAAAGUAAAUUACUCUAACAGUUAACUUUUUAUUACCUUUUUGCAUUUGAAUGCCGUAAGAAAUCAGAAACCUGAACUGCGCAUGGUGAUGCAUGCCUGUGAUCCCAGUGCUCGGGAGGCUGAGGCAGGAGGAUCGUUGCGAGUUUGAGAUCAGCCUGGGCUGCACAGUGAGCUCAAGGCCAGUCUCAGCCACACAGUGAGAUGCUGUCUCCAAAAAAAAAAAAAAAAAAAAAAGAAGGAAAACUGUGACUUGAAGCCAAACGAGCAUCCCUGAAACUGGAGCGAGACCGGGGGAGCCUCUCUCUGAGAACCCCGUUUUGCAGAAAGAAAUGGAAGCCCCGAGAAAUGUGAGUGGCUCCUCCAGGUCGUGUCAUCACAGUCCGGAUCGCGUGCAGACACAGCGAGCUCAGGACCCACGGAGAGGCUGCUGCGGAAUCACGGCUGCGGCGCCCCGGAAAAGGAAGUGCUGGGAUAAAUCGCUAAAGCCGCCGACUGCUAAGAGCAGGGCCGAGGCCCCGACCUGGCCGAGGCCCCCUGCGCGAGACCCAGGGCAGGCGCUGCGCACGUGCUCCUCGCCAUCCUGAGGCCCGCGGGGCUGUGCUACUCGUCAGAAUGCUCCAGCGAGAGACCCCACAACUAUAGUUUCCCGCCUCCUUCUCUGGCUGGGGCUGGAGGAAGUGACGACCAGGAGUGUCAGGGCUCGCUGUUGUACCCUCACGGGCACAGGAGGAAUGCCAGCGGCGCGGUGAGGCGCCUCCACAGUCGUUCUGGCCGUGCCCCCGAAUCCACUCAGGGUUCUGGUGCUGGUGGCCUGCACGUGGGAGUCUAACGUCCUUUGCGUAUUUUCGCACUGAAUGUUGGUAUUUACCAUCUUUGAUUUUUUUUUUUUCUUUUUUUUUCUUCUGUCGUUUUGAGACAGGGUCUCGCUACGCAUUUCAGGCUGAGCCGACUUUGUAGCCCAGGCUGGUCUUGAACUUGCAGCAAUUCUCCUGCCUCAGCCUCUCCAGUGCUGGGAUUGCCGGUGUGCGCCACCACGCCCUUUAUUUACCAUCUUGAGACAAACCACAGUGUCCUUAUUCCAUUUCCUUGUGCAAAAAAAAACCCUUAUUCAUUAUUCAAAAUUUUGCAUUUUCGCAACUCUUUCCUUUCUGCUCCCCAGAGAGACAGAAUUUUUAAGGCUUUCUUAAAAAUAAUUCCUUCCGGGGCUGGGGAUUUAGCUCAGUGGCACAGCGCCU
rnacentral:lncRNA from 1 species